rnacentral:rRNA from 1 species
CCUACGGGAGGCUGCAGUGGGGAAUAUUGCACAAUGGGGGAAACCCUGAUGCAGCGACGCCGCGUGAGUGAAGAAGUAAUUCGUUACGUAAAGCUCUAUCAGCAGGGAAGAAACACUGACCUUACGGUCAGCAGACGGUACCUGCGUAAGAAGCCCCGGCUAACUACGUGCCAGCAGCCGCGGUAAUACGUAGGGGGCACGCGUUAUCCGGAUUUACUGGGUGUAAAGGGAGCGUAGACGAUGCGCCAAGUCUGGAGUGAAAUGCCGCAGCUUAACUGCGGAACUGCUUUGGAAACUGGCGAACUAGAGUGCGGGAGGGGUAAGCGGAAUUCCUAGUGUAGCAGUGAAAUGCGUAGAUAUUAGGAGGAACACCGGUGGCGAAGGCGGCUUACUGGACCGUAACUGACGUUGAGGCUCGAAAGCGUGGGGAGCAAACAGGAUUAGAUACCCCUGUAGUC